rnacentral:rRNA from 1 species
UACGAAGGGGGCUAGCGUUGCUCGGAAUCACUGGGCGUAAAGCGCACGUAGGCGGAUUGCUAAGUCAGGGGUGAAAUCCUGGAGCUCAACUCCAGAACUGCCUUUGAUACUGGCGAUCUCGAGUCCGGGGGAGGUGAGUGGAACUGCGAGUGUAGAGGUGAAAUUCGUAGAUAUUCGCAAGAACACCAGUGGCGAAGGCGGCUCACUGGCCCGGUACUGACGCUGAGGUGCGAAAGCGUGGGGAGCAAACAGG